ACAGACUCAUCACGCGUGUGCCAC
rnacentral:siRNA from 1 species